CGCCUUCCUUCAUUCCCUCCCCACUUGCCAAGCUAAGGGCACAUUUGCAAGCACUGCUAAUUAUGGAGCUGAAAGAAUUUGGGAAAACUGAGGCAGCGUAUAAACCUAACAGCUCCCAGACAGCGAGGGAAUCUAUUACCAAAUCCUUGCUGCAGCUACAUCAUUGCUUUUUUAUUUCUUGUAUACUCCUUUGAAAUAUCUUGUAAAAUGAUCUUGACAAGAGGUCUUGAAUUGGAACCCGGCAGUCUGUCAAUGUACUUUCAUGAUGCACCUGUACAGCAUCUUCAACCACUAGCAACAAGGGACGUUUAUUUAUUAGGAAACUUCACAGACGCUAUAAAAGAUUAUAUUGCUAUCAGAGACAAAAUGAAGCCUGGGGCCUUCACAGAAAAUCGUUAUUGCCAUUAGGGCUGGUUUCAUUUCCCACCUGCCUAAACAGAUUGUUUUGAUUUUGAAGACUGUCGUGUGUUCCCAGGUUAGUGCUAAAUGAUCACUUUAAAAUUAACCCGUCUGGGGAGGCUGAGGAACAUGCUGGGAUACUACACGAGACUUUCACCUCUGCAGAUCCAAGAUCUGUAAUGAACUCGGGUGAUCUAACGCCUGGGUUUUGUUUACACAUUUACCUAUUUAUUUUGUAUAUCAUGAGCAUGAGCAACACAAGGUCCGGCAGGUAGAGGGGUGAGGACAGUGCUGGCUAAGCAGACAGUGCAGUGAGCAGCCAAAAAGCAGAGAUGCACAGCUACGUUACGAUGAAUGCCACAUACCGUCCAGGCAGCCAGUAGAUCCACGUUCUGUUCUUAGCUCUGUUGUGGCUUUCUUAUGCAGCAGACAGACCACUUAGGCUCCCAUUUAAUUUCUGUGUGACUUGCAUUCAUUCUAAUGAGUCACAGACAGCUCCCACCUCCAGAAGAAGUCACACUGGAGGCUUGGCACAUCAACCACUCAGCUUCUCUCAUUUUCAUUGAAGCACACUUUUCUCUCACGUUCACACGAAUCAAUGUGGUGAAGGACCUUACUUAUCUUUAGAAAGCCACAAAUGAAUGGAUGCAGUAAUUAAUAGCCCUUUUUAGAUAAUCACUAUUCAUAAAUCAUUUUAAAUGGACUACACUGGCUUGCAUGUGCACAAUUGUUUUCAGGAAGUGGCUGCAAAAUAGAGCAUCUGUUUUAAACAUUAUGUAUAAGGAAGAUAAAUCCACUGAUUAUGGUUGCUAAACAAAAUAGUCCUGUUCAGCAGGGUCUAUGUUUUUAGUAGUUCUGCGUUUAGUCCAGCAAAAACAGUAUAAUGACAUUGUAUCCUGUUCUUUCUAAUUGGCGGUACCCCCCUGUGUGUGACAAAAUGGCUAUGGAGAGACCAAACGCAGGCACCCCACAGGGUACUGCUAUGGGAUUUGUGAGCUUCAGAAGCUGCAUGGCUUCUGAAGCAACACUGUCUCCGCAAAAAAUAGGAAACAGUGUUGUUAUUAGGACAGAACUUGACAGUAGACAUGGUGAUCCACAGCCACUGCUGGAGCAGAACCUAGGAGCACGUUCGAUGCUGGGCGCAGCAUAGGAAGCGAGGUGCUUUGGGGGGGACCCAGGUGUAAACCCAGGGUACCAGUGCUGAUUUUCUGCCGUAUGCAGAGAUAGCUCUCAGGAGCUGCAUACAGCAGAAACAGCAACUCAAAGCAUCUAGGCACAUUCAUCUCAGAACCACAGCUCUUGAAUUUUAGUUUUUUACACUAGAAAGUUCUAGCCCUUAGUUCCACAGAAUAUCUUGAGAACUGAACACAUGGACCAGACUUAUGACCGCAGAGGUCUUAGGGCAUAGCAUUGGGGUCACCUUCCCUUCCUAGGCCCAGUAAGUCCUAGACCACUAUUCCACAGCAUCAGUAAACAUCGGGGCUAGAUCCGAACUGCUCUGGCAGUCAAUGUUUCCCUCAGAGCUCAAGGAGAAAACCAACCAUACUAUACUCAGAUCUGGCAAAUUCUUCCUACAUGUUGUGGACACACAUUUCACAGCACAGCUACUUUUCGUGCUCUGUUGUUUGCUUGUAUUUCAUGUUUUCCUUGAGCUGGAAAACACAACAGUGUGGCUCAGCUUGGAGGUGAAGAGCGGUCAGUUUGUAUAAACACUUCGAUAAUAAAACGGAUUUGGUGGCGAUUACAAUUUGAUGUCUGCAGGAAAAAACAGAGGCCCUUUAGCAAAUUGCCUAACAGUGCAAAAUGAUGCUUUGUUGUUCAGCGCACACUCAGCCCUCCAUGGGUCAACUGAGUACACAGAGUUAACAUGGUGUAGGGCUUUGACCAAUGAUUGCUGCCAAAUUUUGCAUGUAGUUAACAGAUACUUCCAGUUGCCUAAACUGAUUGUAAACCUUUCAGCCGUUCUCCAUGACCCUGAAGAUCUCCCCUGUAAUCGCUGCUUGGCUGGAGCUCUCCGUACAGGACUCACCGAUUGAGCAGCUGAACAGGCAGAUGCCCAACUGAGGGGUAAGCCAGCCAUUUCAUUCCUAUAACCUGUGAUGCCAAAAUGCAAAUUCCUUGAAAGUACCAAUUGUUUUAGACUUCAUUAAAUCCUUGCACAAAAUCAGUAGCAUAGAAUAGUUUUAAAUAGAAUCGAUUUACGUCAUGGCUAAAUUGAAUUGAAGUCACAAUUUCAAAUCUGUAUCACAAUUUACACAGAGUUCCAAGAGAAUGGGAAAAUCUACCUUAAGCUGUAAUCAAAACCACAAAAGCAAAGGAAAUCCAGAGUAUUAAUAAUUUUGUAUACAACUUUUUGGUCAGGCUUUGCUGGCCAGCACACAGAAAGUCAGUGGAAAUGAAAGAGAACAAACAUACAUCUGAAAUUAUUUUCAUGGGUUUUAAGCUAGGUUCUUUUGCUAGUUUCUUCCACUAAAUCACUGUGGCUAGGAUUUCACUAGGUGAACCAGCUUUAAUAAGUGAAGUUUUCAUCUCUCCCUAGCCAAAAGAAAAGCCUUACUUAAAACUUUUUCAAGGUUAAAAGUUGCCUUCAGCUGUUAGUUUCCAAGAAACAGCCAUUCCUAGCCUCUGUGUCUCCUUCUCAUAUGCCACUGAAUAUCCACCCUAUGCUCUCAGAAGUGUCUAUGAGUCCGGCUGUGUUAGCUGGCAGAUGUUUUUAGAGACUAGAAAGUGUUUAGUCCCCAUGGACCAAAAGUUACGUGAUGACUUCAUCACACAAGCAAAAGCCAGUAACAGGAAAGCAAGAAAGCAGACAAGCGUUAUAUUCCAAAAACACCAAGUUUCUUUUGCUUCUGGCAAUACUCCUGUGCCUGAAAAAAAGGUAAGUCGCUAGAGUCUUGGUGCUCAAAGCACACACCGUGGAAUCACUGUGGGAUAAUUUACUCGACUCUCUGCUAGUGGCAUUCCCCAUCAACGCUGGCUUUUCAUUUUGAUGCAAGUUAGAGGGUGAAGGCAGAGCAAAGGCAGUGCUUGUUUAGAUUCAAUAUCUACAGACCACACGUAUGCCCCACAACACUCUCUAGAAGGAGUUGUUACUGCACUCAGGAGUUUACAGAAAAACAGCAGCAGAAACCUGAGUGGCUGCCUCAGGAUCGCACACAUCUUUGCUCCCGCAGCACAGCAGUGUUUCAAGGCUGCGUGUACAGCUGUAGGCUCUCCAUCUGAAAGCUUUGGAGUGAUACAUGAGCAACUGGAAGUCAUCAGCGUAAAUUGCAUCCGCAUAUGCAGCACAAUAGCUGUUGUAUUUUCGUAUCAAGUCAUCAUCAGUGGACAUUAUGCCCUCUUUCUACAUCUCCGUGAACUGCCCUCCUGACAGAAGAAGAGAAAGCAGAUACACAAGAGAAAGGCCUCCCUCCAGUGACACAAUGGGGAAGAAGAGCAGGCAAGUAGCUACACAGUGCACCACGUCAAGACAACACGAAGACCCUUCUCUGUGUUUAAGAGGAGAGAAAGCAUCUACUCUGGAGGGAAAUGUGGGCUUUUUAUAUUAUAAAUUCUAUGCAUGUAUAUAUACAUUUUCUGAGAAUAGGAGAGGAGGGGGGCUACUUCCUAGAGCUGAUUAAAGAAGUAUGACUUGAUUUUCAAUUUCAAACGACUCGGGGGGCAUUCCAAUAGACUGCAGACAGGAAAUGAAUACCAUACACGCACUGAACAAGGCAGAUGCUUUUGAAUCUGAUACUUACGUGAAAAGAAAAUAUCUUCAUUUCUGUCUCCCCUCUACCCUACAGUCACUAGUUAGUUCUAAGCUAUUCUUGGACUGAGUGUUUUUAUUUUUCAAACUUGUUUGUGGACUGAAGCCACCCAGGAUCCACUGACAGUGAACCAUAUGGAGCAGCCCCAAAUCAUCCUUCGAUUAGUCCCAGCAGCCAGAGGUAGCAGCAAGGCAGAAAAAAUGAGCAGUUCAGGUUUGAGAUGUCCUGGCCUCCUCUGUUAGAGGAAUGGAGAUGCGACCCUAGACACCGUGCCAGAUCCCAGGGAGAAAGAGCUGCUUCUGCAUAGAGGGAGAGCCUGAAGUGCAUGCAGCACACGCACUGCAGAGCAGGUUGGAAGAGCAUUUCCUCAUCGGCUGUGGCACAGAACUUGCUUCCAGCUACUUAACCGCGCUAAAGAGAUAAAUAAACGUCUUCUUUCCUCAUAUGGCUCUUACAGCUAAACUGCAAUAAUUGUCAUGGGAAUACUAUGAGGUUUAUAACCUGAUUACAAUGUAAUUGUAGCUCUUUUUUACCAACAGCAGCAGUUUUUACUGGGGAAUUGGUGUACUCUUUUCCCUACUUAUUCUACAUGUGUGCAAAUGCACAGUUUCAGUUGCAAUCUCUUUAUUUUAUAGUGGAAAGACUUAAAUGGAAUAAAGUAAAAACAUAAAAGCAGAGACGCAAUCCUAAAUGGACCCUCGCCCUUCUGUUAUGCAACUAAUUAGUUCAUUUUAUUUUGAUGUUAAGACUGCAAUAGCUACAUUCUUACACACAUUAAAACAAGGAUCCUUUCAGGAGACAGGAGAAGAAAGCGGGAGGAGUAGGUGAGAAAGGCAACCGUGACUUACAUUAUUCAAAAAGCCGUGAAUGUCAGAUCAAAGAAGAACAAGACUCAAAUUCACUGCCACUGACGGAUUUCAGCUGCUUUUUCUGAGCUAUUGAUCCCUCAAGGGCAAACUCUUUUAAAUGCUAGUGAUGCCUCUAAGUUGCCACAGCUCCCACCUGAUAGUGGCUCAGCCUCACGUAGUUUGCUUUCAUCAGCUGGCAAACUGGGGAAAGCAAAGACAGCUAAGACACUGCUGUAUCUGGGCCUGAUGAAGGAGACAUACAGCAGAGCACAGAAAUACCAUGUGUGUAUUUUCGGCCCCAGAUGUUACUUUUUUAAUGGACAUUGUGGUAGAUGUUACAUAAAAGAACAGAUUCCUUACUGAAAAGCUGUACAUUUAGUGUUCAUCAGUACCUUGGAGCGCUUUGUCCUGGGCCGCAAUCACCCAGCUGAGUGCCCAGCUGCCCUGGGCAGGAUUGGCUAGCUCAGCUCAGGCUGGAGGCACCAUGCCUCACAGAGAAGUACAUCUCCUCAUAUUUGUAGUGGGAUGAAGGUGAGUUAAGGCAUCUAAAGGGCUACUCCAGCUCAGCUGGCAAGAGGUGACUUGUUUACAAAUUUGAACUCACAGGUCCAAUCUGAACCCCUAUUAAGGCACGGGAUCCAACCCUAAAUCAAGUCCUAAGCUGUCAUGUGCAGAUCAGCAUGAUUUCUCCUCCCUUUCCUUCUGUGGGUCGGAUGUCCUUGGAGUCUGAUGGAGAAAUUUCCAGGUGUUCUGCCUUAUCCGGAUACUGCAGGAUUAUGCCUUAAAUAAAAGUCAAUGGAAUUUGGUGCAGCAAAGCAAUUUCACUUGGUGUGUCUCCAGAUGGUCUCUUAAGAGCUGCCUUUGGACUUCUGACACUGAUCCCUUGCACAGGCGUCGCUGCUGCUGCCAGCACUGCAUCACUGGAAACACUCGAUUAACUCUGCCUCCCAUUGCCCCUGCAUUACAUGCACAGCCACAGUGGUGCGCUGCAGAUUAUUCCACUCUUUCCAAGCUCUUCCCACAAUUAAAGAUCUACCUAUUCUCACCAGCAUUUAGUGCAAUUUGGUACUUUAUGCAUUUUCAUGAGAUGGAUGACCCUUUUCCUUCUCUAUGUCUUGAUCAAGAGCAAGAGCUAGCACUGCUCCCAUUUAAAUGCAUAUCAAAAGCUCCAGGACUCUAAGGUUAAAUAGCUCAUGUGAAACCUUUAGCGCUAUUGUUACAGAACAUCUAAAGGCAUGGGCAUGGUGUGGCUGCCCUAGGUUCCCUUUUGAAAUAGAUUUCCACAAAUGUUCAACAUAUCUAUGUCAACCAUUAAAUAAAAGCUUGGAUUCUAAAGCACAAGAUGAGGAAUAGAUACUCUAUUGGCAUGCUGCAGCUAGCCUUUCAUAAAUUGCAUGACAAUCAAUCCCUUUAAAGGAAAAUGAUACUCCAGAAGCUCUAUUUGUACAUACAUCUGUUUUCCUAUUGUAGGAAGGGAUAAGAAAAAGUUAAAUCUUGAAAGGCUAAACAAACUCUAAAUUAAGAAGAGACUGUAAUAGUGGGUGAAUUGUAAACCACCUGUAAAUGUUAAGAUUGCUGCACUCUUCUGCAGACCACUGAGUCUAUACUGCAAACCUCCAAUAGACCUGGACUGCGUGUUCUAUAAAAAUCGUGAUGAAUGCAGACUUGUUUUCAUAUUAUGGAGGUCCUAAUCCUCCUCCUCCUCUGCCUUUGCUCUAUUGUUGCAACAUCAAAGACCGACUGCUGGCCGAGAUACAGUCAAUAUGAAAAGGGCGACCAGCAAAUUUACUGCUUGACUUCAUUCCCUUUAAAUGGAAUAGGCACCAUGGCCCUUUUUCAAAGUCCAAUCACAGACAUAUAUCUUUUUUAUUGGACAUCAUGUACAAUAAAGUGAAGCUGUAACUUUGAAAAAAAAUAGAACACCUUAACAAAAUCCCAUGAGGUGAACAUUCCUUUAUAAAAAUAUCACUGUGGUUACGUGUUUUGAAAAACUCUGCACGCUCUGCAGUGGAAAAGGCAUGGGCUGGUGAGGUUAUAGAUUAGCUAAGAUGCAUAUCCAUGCCUAAUAUCUAAUUGGUUUCAAAAAAAACCCAAAACUAAUAAAAUGUGAUAUAUUUAAGACGGAAUGCCAGUGUCAUUCAAAUAAACUGAAAUGGCAGCAUUCAUGCCACAAGAAUCAUUAACUGCUUUGUUAUAGCCUGCUCUGUGCAGUGAACCUUUACAGACUUCUUCAGUCCAGCGAAUCUUAAAAUCAGCUGCACAAAAUGCCAAUAUAUGCACUGCAUCUUAAACAACUCCUGGCUGAUUACUGAGGUAAUUUCCAGAGACGCUUUCAGAUGAGAGUUGUAUCUGCAGACACUAUUGGCAGGGACACCUUUAUUGCUGCUGUAGCACUAAAUGGACACUAAGUGAUUUCCCUGUAUGAAGUUAAAACUGUAUAAGCAAGUCAUAUGAUGUAGGAGAUGAUUACACUGAGGUUUUACAGAGUCCAGGCUAGCUAGCUCUGGUUUUUAUUUUUGAUAAACUUUCCUUAAUAUAAUGAGAAGUUUUUGUUUUGUUCCUUUUUGUUUGGGUAAUUUGUGCAAAAGGCCUUUAGUAAAUAUCUGUUUAGUAAUGUUAGAUCAAGUUCACACUGACUUUAAAAUCCCGCACUGAUAUGUAAGUGGCAGAUAAAACCAAGCAAAUUUAUGCUUCGUUACACCCACAAUAAUCCUAGGCAAAUACUUCCAGCGGAGUAAUUCUGGUUUCCUUAUACCAAAAUCUGCAGCUGAUGGUUUACUUCUAAGGCAAGAAAGACACUAAAAGUAUUUGGCAUUUUUGAAACAUUAACAUCCAAAAUAGCCUUAUUAUCAUUGGGCCCUCCUCACUGCUCUUUCCAUUACAUUAUAACACACUGUCAGUCACCUCCUCUUUCCAUCAUGGGCUACAGCACAGAACAACUUCUGGUGCAAGGACCUCACCUUCUACUCAGCCUUCCUGGGCUUGUACAAGAAAUGGUGUUUUGAUACCAGUGUUCAGUACCUGAAUAUGCAAUCCAAUGGGAAUGCAAAGGCAAGACAGCUGGAGGAGGUUUUCUGGAAGUUAAUCUUGGUCCACAAACAGGACUGUCUAGGUAACUAUCCCUUGGAAAGGGAGGACUUUUUCAGAGCAGGGAUAUAAAGAGGUGGGACAUACUAUUUGGGCAGCUCAGAAAGAUACUUACACUGUACUCAACAUGGUGUUGUCACAAGUGCUGAUCUCAACAGCCAUGCAGACAAAGAGUAUUUUAAUCUUUCCACGUAAGAAGAGCCACUGUGGGACAAAACAGUCCAAGACUUUUUCAGUGGGUAUGAAAUUAACAAUGAAACAUGGUGGAUGGAAAUGAAUUCAUGCAAUCAGAAGAAAACCACAUGCCAAAGCCCAGCUUGUCUUCAUGGAUGGAGGACCAGAUUAUGUGCGUUACAUGCAUAUCAAUUCUUUAGAAAAACGGAGUUGUAAAAUAUUCAAAUCCAAGAGGAACUUUGGCUGGGUCUGCAGCCGACAAAAGUCAUUGACUCUUCUUGCUUUGUGAAAGGUCAGUUUAAACACAUCGAGAAUGUAGGACUAGCACGGAGGUGUAAAAGUCACGGUACAUUUGAACAACUUCUGUCUUUCAACAUGGACUGAACCCAUCCUGAGUGACAAAAGAAAUAUUUAAUCUUUGAUUUUCCUCUUUUAUCUUUAUGAAUGCCUCCGUAAGAUAAAGAGGACCCAAAUGUCAUUAGUCUAUAGGAUUUUAGAGGUGAACAGCUCCAGGCCUGCUUUCAUCUUGCUGACAGCUUAGAAGGGAAGAAUACAUAAAUAUGCCCUACUACUAUGAUUUUCCCAAGCACAGAAAAACAAGGGCAAAAGGAUGAAGGAACUGUUGUCCAGUAUCUCCCACACCAGCUCCCCUGACCAAUCAUUACACUGCCACACCACUGACCACUGCGGCCAGCCAUCGCUUGUUGCAAUAACAAGUUAUGUUUCACUUUGUUUUCUUUCUUUUUCUGGUAUUUCAAACUGAAAGUACAAGGAAACACCAACACUGGAAAUGCUCUGUUCUUGUGGAUGGAUCAGUGAGCUCACUACUCUGCUUCUUGGAAAUAUUACUCAUCUGUAUGUGUUCAAAUACGCCAUUUAACCUGGCAUCUUUGUUUUUAUUUUUUUGCCUUCAAAACUUUUAAAAUCAGUAUCCUGGAGGCACAAUUGUGUUCAAGUGCAGCAGUAAUCACUACAUCAUUCAAGAGUUCCUUUUGCAACUUACUGAAGCACUUUCUGUUUUUCUGUUCUAAGUUAUCACUUUAUUAGUCAUUGUGACAGUGCUUACAGCCUGCAUUCAUGCCUGGAGACCUAUGAUGCUACACAUUGUUUGCAAGCAACAGCAACAACAAAGAAACCUCAAAGAACUUGGAUUAAGAUUAAAAAUAAAUAAAAAACCCCCAACAAAAUAAAGAAUGAAAUGCAUCAGUGACCUACAGCUUCUAUCACUGAAAAAUAAUGCUAAAAAAGGUCAACUUUUACAGAGAACAAAGGGCUGCUGAUUAGUGUAAAACAGACAGCAAGAUACGACUCUGACAAAAGAGGCCAAACAAGCACUAAGCAACACUAUGAACAGAGCAAACAAGAUACAACUGGGUACCACCACAUUCGUUAGCAUGGAGGACUGGUAAAACACACAGAAGGUCAUACAGCAACCAGUUCUGGGAUUUAAACCUGUCAAAGCUGCUAUAUCUUCUUUAUCACUCUACUUUCAAGACAAACAAAAACUAGUUCACUUCAAUUUUAUAGUUUAUAUUUGUGUAAGAAAAUGUCUAAGUUGUCUGCAUAUAUAUUUGAAGUAUGUAUUCAUUUCAAGAUUUUAGGAGAACGUAAGCAUAAAAAGUUACAGCAAAAUAAUUUCCUACCAUUGUGGCCAGGUCUGCCCAGAAGGUCACUGCUCUUCCCACAGGAAAGCAGGCUCUGUGCCACAACACGUCUGCUCUGUUCAGUGAACAAGAAGGAUGCAGAGAACGACCUCUGCAGAGGCCAGGCAGCCUUCUCACUUCCCAGCAAGAAUGGCCUCGUAGCUGAAGAGCUCCUGCCCCCUGCCCCGAGGACUGAAGUGAGGCGUGGGCAUGUCUGCGGCAGGCAGUCUCUGCACUUCACUUUCUGUAAAGUUCUCUGUGAGGUUUUCAGAUGCUGCUGUGCAACACAGCCAGAGUUUCCACCUAAUCUUUGAUUGCUCCUUGUUCUCUUUAAAGAACGUCUCACCAUUUUGGAACAAUGAGGCACUGAUCAUUAAUAUACAGAUGUAGUAGGUAUGAGUGGAGACAAAAGAACAACUGCUGGAUUCAAAACAAGGUUUCCGAUUUACAUUUAAUAUAACUGGAAUUGGUUAAAUAGAUCUCUUCCCAACAAAACAAUUCCAGAGCAGAGCAAGGUGUUGAAAAGCUUAGUAUGAUGAAGCUCUGAGCAUCAGGGCUAGGUUACCUAUGAGCAGGUUGUAACACGCAUUUUAAAAUCACAGGGGAGCGCACAGUGACCUGCUCCUGCCUGACAGUAAAAGGAUGAUGAAAUUGUUGGGGUCAUGAAGACCAACAGCAGAGCUUCGACCCUAGGCCUCCCACUUUUGAGGACAGCUGGCGUAAGCAAGGACAGAGUGGGGAAAUGCAGCUGAAUGCAGGGAGUGACAACAUCAGCUGGAGGAGUAGAGCGAUUUUUGUGCCCAUCAGAUGACAGUUAGGGGUCAGCACUGUUGUAUUGCUGUUAUAUUGCUGUAACAGCUGUGACAGACUAGCUGUGUUUUUCCUGUGCAGAAUAGACUUACGUUUAGUGAACGAAGACCACAAAAUAAAAACUACUCAAGAACUAGUGUUGAUUGUCCAAGAUUAGGCGAGCCAACAGAAGUACUGCUGACCCAGCUCCUAGAUUCUGUAGGUACCCAUGCCUUGUCUCUCCAUCUCAUUGUCACCAAGCAUCACCAUUAAGGCUCCGGACUUUCUCAGGAGCCAAACUCAAACCUACCACUCCUGUUACCAUUGGCAGUCAGCUGCCCAAACCCAUUUGCGGGGCUCCAAGCCAUGCAUAGCAGGAUUUCCUUUAAUCAUUCUUAGUCCCCAGCAAAGACCCAGAAUGACUUUAAGACUACGCACACUCACUGGCUUCUUUCCCCCCCCCCCCUCCAUAAAAUACUAUGAAGAGUUGGAAAAAAUGAAAUAAAGCACUUCAAUAGCCUCUUCAGUAUAAGGCACUAUGAAAAAACUGCUCUGAGUUAUAGUUGCAGAAAUUGAGAUGCACGUUGUGAUUUAAUGCCAGGUAUUUAUCACUGAAGACGCAAGAUGAGCGGCAUGGUAACUCUCAGCUGUUGAGCUGGAGAGAAAUUCAGCAGAAUGUGUGUCAUCCAAAUAUCUUGGUCAAAUCUAACAUAGGAAAUUAGAUUUGUACCUGCCUAACAUUGCUCCUUGCAGCCGUAACUAAAUAUAAUAUUCCUGGAUUCCUGUUCUAAAUUACUGCAGCAGUCUUAACUACCUACUAAGAAGCUUGCCACAUCUUACCCUGAAGGUGUAGUAACUCUUUUCCACCAGGAAUGUUUUUAUUUACUGGGAAAUGAGUCAAUGGGAUAGGUACGUAACUUAAUAUUUUCUGGGGUUUUCCUGAAGCCAGGUUUGGCAUGCAAAGGAAUCUCUCCCAGGAGCCAUGUACAACAGCAAAUGCUCUGCUCAGAGCAGCAGCCGCACUCCUUCACCCCCAUUUCUUUGCUUCCACAAAGGCAGCAGCAGCACACGUAAAGCUAAUCACCCUUCCUUCCCUCUAGAUCCUGGAACAAGCCACAGCCCACUGGCAAAACCACUAAAGAGCACACAUAAUUCUCUCCCUUGGGAGAUGAGAGAAUGAACUGCACAUGUUGUAAGUCAUUUGUUAGGCUUAGUGCCUAACUGGGAGAACAUAUGCUAAUGGUGAGGGUGAGCUUCAGCUAAGGAACUAUACAACAAGGCCUGCUGAGAAGAGACAGGUUUUACUGUCACUGUCAAAAUGCACAAACCAGGACAUCCUCUGUGAUGAGUAACAACCUCACCAAAAGGGAUCUUGGUUUUCUGAGUAGCAGCCUGCUUCACUCACAGGGCACCUGCUCUGAAAGUCAUUUCUGUGGUGUACGAAUGGCUCUUACGGCAGAGAAGGAUUUAGUGCUUGUAUGAAAUAUACGAUAUACAUUCAGUUAUCAGCAUCUUAUAUAGGCUAACGACGGUCUGGAAAACAUGAAUGCAAAGUGCUGAAUCAACAUUUUUUCAAAGAUGAUUUAGACAAUCAGUUUCUAUGAGAGCUACCCAAAUGUAAAGCCCCAGAGCUCCAGCAGGCUUUAAAAAGCUCAGCCUAAAACUCUCCCCAAGUAAACAGCUGGAGUCCUGCUUGGACUGAGAGAGCCAGCAGCCGAAUUACACCACUGCAUCUGCAAGAAGGCAUUCUGUGAUUUGCCCGGAUCCCUCCAGUACCAUGGGCAGCAGGGAAAAGCAAGCCUUGAAAACACCAAAUCACAUCCCAGCCAAGGUAACAGACAGCACACCUUUUCCAAAUUUCUCACCACGUUGAGCUGAUGAUUUUAGAAGAACGAAGUAAACUCAGCUCUGUGUAGUAUUCCUUACCGGACCUGGAGAACGACUCCUGUUUGUAAGCAGCAGAGUGUAUAUAUAUAUACCAAUAACCGAAAAUCACAAAACUAUGACACAGAGCGCGCUCCUUAUCCAACUACGUUCUCUUGCACGGCGCCAGUUCUAUGUGCACCCACAGAGCUACUAUGUGCGCCCAUGUAACGCUACUGCACGCACUGCAGCAGAGAACGUGACUUCCGGGGCCACAGCACGUAUCAGCGGUGGCUCAUUUCAUGAGGUCACUUUACUUAGUAUGGAAAAACUAGAAGUGAUGGGAACUAACUUUUCAAUGGAUUUAUUUUCUCUCGAAAUGAAAGCAGAGGAGAUUUUGGAGGAUCACGAAGUAUUAUGAGUGUCUUUCAAAAUUUAUGGUAAGCCCUAACGUUCACCUUAGAACUGUGUUAAAAGAUGAAAAGGUAUCUGUUAACUGUGUUAAAAGCAACAGUUGCCUGCCUUUAAUAACAGCUUCCCUUGCUUCUUCUCAGAAGCAGAAGUUGAUACUUAUUUCAAAAACGUACUCCAAAAUACCUUCAGUCUGCUAAAUUAAAGCACACCUCAUAGAGUUCCCACUGGCACAAACAACAUCUCUCCCCCACCCCCUCUGAUCCCCAUCAAUAAAUCUCCUAUUUUCCCUUGGUGGAGAUAGGAGGGGACAAAAAAUAGGAGGGAAGGUCUGGUAAGUAAAACCCGCUGGAUGCUUUACAGCUCUAAUCUGGACUUCCCAUUUCACAUUAGUUUACCAUAAAAUCUACAUUAGCAGCAGCACAAAACCACAGCAAUGCAGAUGGAGAGCCUAUUUCUUUCUGCAGCAGCAAAGUGAGGAUACCAACGGCCGCGUCCACCCACCCAAAGAGCCCCAGCAGAGCGCGCGGGGCCGCUCCUCCCCACAGCCACGAGGACACAAGGAUGCCGGGUGGCUGGGAACAGGCACAGCACAGGGGAAGGAAGGGCAUCGGCAGCAGAAAUAAGAGUGGUGGAAACACAGCUUGUUUAAUUGUAGGGUGGAAGUUCUAUCUGGAUUUCCUUUGUCCAUCAGCAUUUGAAACAUAAUUGGGAGGCAAAAAAAAAAAAGCUAAUAAUCCAAAUCUGUCCUCUAUGUUUCCUCUAAGAUCCUUCCAUCGCUUGUAGGAGCAAGGCUGGGAGAAAGAAAAGCUCUUCCUCCCGUUAUGAAUCUGACUACAUGCAUAUGGGUCUCUAUUUCAGACUACUCACAUCUCCACAGCAUUUGAAAUUAUAAAGGAUUCUUUCUAAACCAGCUUUAUGGAAGAAGGCUUGGGGAUGUGCUGGGAUUUUGCCUGUUUGUUUUUCCUUUUUCAUCUGGGACUAACGAUUCAGAUUUUCUUCCGGACACAUAGACUGCUUUAUUGAUUAAGACUGACUGCAUAAACCUUAAAACAUCAUACCUUCCUUUUUAUAUUAGCCAGGAAUAAACACAAACAUUUUAAUAUUAUUUCGGAAAUCUGCCCUGUCAAAAUGCAUUUCUCCAAGCAGCUGCUGCACAGAGCAGUCUUCUCCGUGUUUGCCACGAUCUGUGCAGGACACGACAAUGACAUUCGGUCAGAUGAAACACCGACCCAAUCACUUCUCACACUCUUUUCUUUCCACAGACAUACCGGGAUGGCAAAGAGAAAGGAAAGCCAGUGGAAAGGAAUAAUCAGAACUACAGACCCACAAACACCUGUUGCUUCGACAGCACCGCCGGCAGGACGGGGUGACGAGCCAGCCAGCUGCGUGCAUGGAGCAGGGUUCCAUCGCAGGACAUAUCCGUAUGUAUUUUAAAUCAACACUAGGGUUCUUUAGGAUAAGCGGUAACAACCGGAGAGGUGCCUAUUUGUUCACACCAACAAAUGUAAACGCCGUUUCGUGCGGUUUGAUUCCUCGUUGACCCUUUACCCAGGAAUGCAAUGCACUGGCAUUUUGUGUUUCACUUCGGCGUGAGCCGUGCUAGCAGCCACAGAGCGCUCGGCCCCGGACCCAAAGACACCCAUGCGAAGUUCCCCUCCCGCUCUGUGUUGCCAUGCGUCCGUCUGCCAGAGCUCGACUUUCUGAAGCAGGUUGCAGCGCUUUCCAGCUGGCAGAGGAAUCCCGGACAGCCCUAACCCAAGGAGAAGCGGACAGGCUGCCGUCUGCCCCGCUGAUCACCCGCAGUGGCGCACCUCCCUCCCGAGAUGUCCUGCACGGACGCGCUCUCCCAAAUACAGAGCAUGCAGAAUCCAUUCCGCUGGGAAGUAUAUAAAAAUUUCAAUUCUACAAAUGGCAAAACACGAACUACUAAAGCUAUCACAGUGCUUAAAGGCACAGACUUCCCUGAGUUUUCUGUGAAAUAGAAAAAUUUUCCUCCUCUUUCACCCUAACUCCACGAAAGCGCUCUGAGAAGAGCUCCUCGGGGAAGCGACGCCCACUGCCCAGCUGUUUCCCUCGUUAUGUUACAACCCCGGUAAGAAAAGGCAAAUUCAGGGUUAUCCUAAUGAUAGCAAACACCUCGUAAAAAACCUCUCCACAUUUACUUUUCCAAGGAACAUCCUUUUAAAAAGGCAUUCUGAGCGCCCGUGAGGAAAGAAAGCGUCGUUUGUAAAGCGUUAUUACCCGAAAUCUUGAAGAUAUUAAACAAAAACGUCCCGUAGGGUCGGGCCAGCGCUGCAGCUGCAGAGGGGGACCGCAGCGGGGCAUGGCGAGAGGCGUGCGCUCCGGGAUACGGAGCUCAAGAACCGCUGCACCUGACCAGCGACGCGCAGCCCCGCCUUGGCGCUCGGACGGCCCCGCACCACCGCCUUCCCGCACCGCUACAAAACGUGACGCUGCGUUAAAACAGAACCAUCGGACGCGGAACCGAACGAGUCCUUCACCUCUCACCAAGUUCAGACUGUGACACAUAGAAGUGAGGAUCUGCGUGACCGGGGCCUGCACGAGUGAGCGGCAGAGGGGUGUACAUGGCAGCUGGGAGGUCAGGCUGGUGCCAGAAUGGCCAAAAGCAGAAGGAGCAGUCUACACCCUAAACAUUUUCAGCCUGAGAGCGACAUCCCCAGCAGUGUUGCUGCAAAGCAAAGGGAAGAUGCACUUCCAGAGCGUGGUGCCAGCUGCAGCCAAGGCACAGAGUGGGAGCCCGCCUGCAGCACGCCAUGCCCUGCCUCCCUCGGCCCAGCAGAGCGUGUGCUUGGGGCACGGGGAGAGCUGGAGCUCGCAGGAGGCCAUGGACAGGUCUGGUGUGUCUGAAGGCUGCAUUCACGAGUCAGAAUGCUGGCAAGUACCCUCCCAGGCAGGUAGGUUGCCCUUCCAAUAGUAACCGCUGUGAACUGUCAGCUGUCAGACAGGGAAGUGGUUAAAAUAAUGGCACUGAAACACUGUUAGAGAUGAGACCAAAAGCUGCAGAACCCAACCCUUCAGGUUUAAGAGAUUUAAACCCACCAGCGUGGUCUGUGUGAGCACUGCGGUAAGAAGGAUCUGGACAGACAUCUGUGUCCUGAGCGCGCCGCAGUGAGCAUGGCCCCUCUGCCUCAUGAGAUUGCUCCUUGAGGAGCACCCAGUGUCACACCCGUGUGCUCGGAUGUGCAGGGAAAUCCUACAAAGCCAUUCCACAUUACAUAAAGCCCGAACAGCCUGUGGGACUGUCACGUGGCUCUAAAAGAAGGCUGUAUUUUCUUUAACCCAAACAUUCCUUGCGCUAAUCAAAAUACCGAGGAGAUAAAAACACUGAUGUGCUUCAGAUGUCAUCGCUUGGCCUUGACUGUCCUGCUGCCAUCGCUGGGAUGCUGGCAGCCAGUGGCAGCGGGCAGGAAGGAGGGGGCAGGGGAAAUCAGGCAGCAAAAAGGCAGAAUGGUCCUCCAGGUGUGGCAGGGCCUGUCCCUGCCUAGUGGCUGUUGGUGGCUCCUGGCUGUUGAGGAAAGUGGAAACUUGGCACGUGAGUUGUAUAUUUCAGAGCUCAGCGGCACAAAUCGAUGGCCGGGGGAGACAGGAGGCCGUAAUGCGAAACAGUCCCAGCGACAGCCUGGUGAGAAGCACACACAUGGAUCUGCUCUGGAUCUCUGGGUAAUGUAUGUUCUCCCUCGCCUUAUGAAAGACUGAACCAAAAGACAUCUUUAAUCCAGAUGAGAUGGGCCCAAGCUGGUGCGCAUUUCCUCAUGGGACAUUAAGUUUUAUGCGUUACGCUGUUGUGGAAAGACAGAGGGAAGGAGCAGUGCUACUAUUGGCAGUGAGCGGCUGGCAGCAAGGAACCAGAGUCUCUCCCGCUUGAAAAAGCUGGGACAAAAGCGGCACUCGUGUAUGGCGACAGUGCUGCGUGGCUGUGCUGGGGGGGAGCAGGAAGCACGUGUGCCAUAGAUGCCAACUGAAAUUCACAAACACUGUUAAACUGACAGAUGACUUCAUCGAUGAAUCACAACCUUUAGGGAAGAUGUACUGAAAAGCGAAGGGAAAAGCAACCAUGCGUUGAGGACUGUCUCCUGGGGAAAUGUUCCAGGGUCCGUCAGGGCUCUGCUUGUCCUGUCUGCCAAAGCAGCACGCCGUGGUCACUGUGCCACUUACAGUGCUCAAGCCGUGUGUGGGGCUGAAUUUGCCACGUCCCAGCUGGCAUGUCCUGCUUGUUGGUGUUCCUGUCCCCAGUGCUUUGCAGGGUAAACCCCAUCCCAGCACUGCAUGGGUACUUACGCUUGGUGGUAGGAGAGUCACUCCUGAAAGGAAGCACCGCCCGGCUGAGAAAUGACACCCUGCGAAGUCUGGGUGGUCCUGAUGACUGAAAGCAUUAGGACGUUAAUUGCACCCGCUCAAGUGUGAAAAAUCCUCAUUUUGGAUGAGUGCCGCCACCAGGUGACAUCCUUCAAAGCUAGCUAGGAGAGAGAGGGAGGGAAAACACAACACAAUGCGAUGUAACACCACCCUCAAUACUUUCCAUAAAGUAUUUCAGGAGUGCGGAGGAGGCGGAGGUGGGAGCAGUAGAUGAACCAAGCGUGAGUGCUGCUGCCACCGGUGUCAGAGCACCGUGGCUCAGCUGGGGCCCGCACCCCAGCUGUCCCAGCAGCUGAAGGAUGCAGGUGCUCACUUGUUUGUCCAGGUUUCCCCUUUACUGUCAGCCCUGCUACAGGACAGCGGAGCUGCCCUGUCGGUAAGGCUGACAGCUUUUUGUAUGUGGCUGCUGCAGCCCCACUGCUCUCUUCAGCUCGCUGCUCCCUGUGCCCGCUCCCAGCAUGCUGUUGUUUUAUCUUUAAGCCUGGGGCUUGCUUUAAAAUUGUCUGUGAUGAAAACCUGGCUCCGGUAAAGUCAUUGGCAAAGCUCCCAUUGACUUCAGAGGAGCCAGGAUUUCACCCAAAGACACUUUGUAGAUGAGUGGUGAAUGGAAAGCAUACAUCUGGCUUCUUGAGGGUUGUUAUAGGUGGUGAUGACCUCUGCUCUGGUGAGCAUUGAGCAACACUGGGUUGAGACAGUUGGCUAAAGCUUUUCCUGCCUCUUCCCCGGCUUUGCUCUACAGCUCAUCUUGGAUCCGCUUAUCGAGGUGGAAUUCAAUGCCUGUUUGCCCACAUUCCCCUUCCCCCAAUGCCAGCAGAUCAGCAGAUAGGAGACGGAAUGGCUGAUAAGCUUCCAGCUCCAACCUCUUAGCUGGGAGCUACAAAUGCACACACAACACAAGGGUCUCUUUUAAAAAAAAAAAAAAAAAGGAAAAAGAAUAACCUUCCCCUGCAGACAACGUCAGCCUCUUCUGUGACAUGUGCUUCCUUUAUCUCAAUACUAGAAGAGUAACACCAUCUUUUUACAAUGACCAGUUAGCUUAGGGCUCUCCAUUUCCCUGCUUCUCCCAGACCUGCACUCUCCUUCCCACCUUCAUACUCAGCCCACAGCCAGACCUGGUGGCUGGGACAAGACUUCUGAAUUGUGUGACAGACUGGAAAUGCACUGGCUGUGUUAUUAACGCUUGAAGCAGAAAUGUAUAACGAAUCUGAAUGACAGAAGAUGGAAAUGGAGAAAACGGCGCAGCCCCAUUUCCCACCUCUUUAUUAUUUUUAAUACCGAAUUGUGUUUAUUUCACUCUCUCCCAUGUUUUCACUUUUCAGUAUGCUGCGUGUUUUGUACUGAUGAUGUGCAGUUGCACCAUGGUAUUUGUCAAGGUGCAGCAGUACGCGGCUGUGGGAAUCAGCACACUGGGCAACGCUCUCCAGAAGUGCCCGAAGAGCCUACAUUCUGCUGACAGUGCACAGGUGCCCUCCACAGUACGUUCACAAUCAACCAACCUAUGGACAAAAAACAAAGAGAGAAAUAGAGCAAUUUACAGCUUCCACACCUAUGGUUUCCAAGCCCUUUGUUUCCCCAGGGAAAACAUCACAUUACUGGAUUGCAACUGGCUUUUUUUUUCGAGGCUGUUUUUGUGACUCUGGAAUUGGGGAGCUUAAUUAAAACCCAAAAGAAAGCAGAAAGCCAGCUGAGCUCCGGGGAAGGGAAGGGGAGCGGAGGGGAGGAUUUCAUGGCAAACAUAGUGCAGGUGGGUGAGAUGAAGGGCUGUCUACAUUGCAGGGAACCUUACAUCCCCACAGAAUAAGUAAAUAAAAUUCAGCUCCUUUCUUGAUGGCAUCAAAUGAUGUCACCUGGCUUAGUUGAUUUAACACAAAAAGCAAGAGGGCUGUGCUGGAGCUGUGCUGCCAGGGAUGAAGACUUCAUUGGUGAGGUUGUGCCUCGUGGCUAGGGGCUGCUCAAGAAUUCUAUUUUAUUUUCCUUACUAAAUCACUUCCUCUACCUUUCAGCUGAUUUCCUUAGUAUCUUUGUACCGCACUUGGUCAAGUCAAAAGUUUACCACAUUAAUAAAACAACUGGUUUUGAAAACUGCCUGUAAUAUUAGAGUGCCAAAAUCACACUGAUGUUUCUCAGCUCAGUUUUAGGCCAGCACUUUAGGAGCUAAGAAGUAUCAGUUAUAAAUACCCUUUUCUUUUCCAUAACAGAAACUCCGGUGAGACAUGCACCAUUUCAGGUACCAAAUGGAGUAGAAAAAUGCCCAAGUUUUGUUGUUAUAUAGAGAGACUCAUUAAUGUAGGUGAAGAAAUCAGGUAAACUAGUUACUGUUAGUGUUCUUGAGUGGCUGCUCCUAAAUUCAUUUGUGCCGGGCUACAGACAGGCGGUUGGAUUAGAUAUUCCUAACAGCAGCAGGGCAUAGCAGGCUGGGUUUUGUAUCCUCUGUUAGCACAGCUUUUAGCAGAGUGCUGGCCAGGUUUGCAAUACCCCAGUACCAACAAUGGUAAUCGUAACAGCAAACAGUGGUAUAGAUCCUGUGGAAUAUCCCAGGCAAUAGAGGAUGAGAUUAAUUUGAAAAGUCUCUGUAAAGGAAGAUGAUAUUAUGUUAAAUAAAGCAAUGGAGAGGAAAAAGA